rnacentral:rRNA from 1 species
GGCAGCGGCGUGCUUACACAUGCAGUCGAACGAUGAAGCACCGCUUGCUGGUGUGGAUUAGUGGCGAACGGGUGAGUAACACGUGAGUAACCUGCCCUUGACUCUGGGAUAAGCCUGGGAAACUGGGUCUAAUACCGGAUAUGACCUUUUACCGCAUGGUGGAGGGUGGAAAGCUUUUGUGGUUUUGGAUGGACUCGCGGCCUAUCAGCUUGUUGGUGGGGUAAUGGCCUACCAAGGCGAUGACGGGUAGCCGGCCUGAGAGGGUGACCGGCCACACUGGGACUGAGACACGGCCCAGACUCCUACGGGAGGCAGCAGUGGGGAAUAUUGCACAAUGGGCGCAAGCCUGAUGCAGCGACGCCGCGUGAGGGAUGACGGCCUUCGGGUUGUAAACCUCUUUCAGUAGGGAAGAAGCGAAAGUGACGGUACCUGCAGAAGAAGCGCCGGCUAACUACGUGCCAGCAGCCGCGGUAAUACGUAGGGCGCAAGCGUUAUCCGGAAUUAUUGGGCGUAAAGAGCUCGUAGGCGGUUUGUCGCGUCUGCUGUGAAAGACCGGGGCUCAACUCCGGUUCUGCAGUGGGUACGGGCAGACUAUAGUGAUGUAGGGGAGACUGGAAUUCCUGGUGUAGCGGUGAAAUGCGCAGAUAUCAGGAGGAACACCGAUGGCGAAGGCAGGUCUCUGGGCAUUAACUGACGCUGAGGAGCGAAAGCAUGGGGAGCGAACAGGAUUAGAUACCCUGGGAGUCCAUGCCGUAAACGUUGGGCACUAUGUGUGGGGAGCAUUCCACGUUUUCCGCGCCGUAGCUAACGCAUUAAAUGCCCCGCCUGGGGAGUACGGCCGCAAGGCUAAAACUCAAAGGAAUUGACGGGGGCCCGCACAAGCGGCGGAGCAUGCGGAUUAAUUCUAUGCAACGCGAAGAACCUUACCAAGGCUUGUCAUGUACUAUACCGGGCUGGAAACAGACUUUCCCUUCGGGGCUGGUUCCAAGUGGUGCAUGGGUGGGGUCAACUCAUGUCCGGGAAUGUUGGGGUAGAGCCC